rnacentral:piRNA from 1 species
UGGGAAUGGAAUAUUAAUGUACGGA